CCUACGGGUGGCAGCAGUGGGGAAUAUUGCACAAUGGGGGAAACCCUGAUGCAGCGACGCCGCGUGAGUGAAGAAGUAUUUCGGUAUGUAAAGCUCUAUCAGCAGGGAAGAAAAUGACGGUACCUGAGUAAGAAGCCCCGGCUAACUACGUGCCAGCAGCCGCGGUAAUACGUAGGGGGCAAGCGUUAUCCGGAUUUACUGGUUGUAAAGGGAGCGUAGACGGCAGCACAAGUCUGGAGUGAAAUGCCGGGGCUUACCCCCGGAACUGCUUUUGAAACUGUGCAGCUAGAGUGCAGGAGAGGUAAGUGGCAUUCCUCUUGUAGCGGUGAAAUGCGUCGAUAUUAGGCGGAACACCAGUGGCGAAGGCGGCUUACUGGACUGUACCUUCCGUUGAGGCUCGAACGCGUGGGGAGCAAACAGGAUUAGAUACCCUAGUAGUC
rnacentral:rRNA from 1 species